GCUUAAGAUUGAUAGUCUCUCGGCUUCUUCUCUUUGCUUAUGUUCUUUCUGAUCUCUUCAAAGUAGUAGUUUGCUCAGGUGAUGGGAAAAAAAGAUAGUUUGUCAGAGAGAAGAGAUUCUGCAAAAGCUGAAGAGGAAGAACAUGUCAAGGUGUAUAAAUUGGUACUAAAAUUGUGCGCAGGUUGUUGUUCCUGAUUCGCUGAUGUUUGAGCUCAUUUAAGGUGAGUAAAUGCUAUCAAAAGACAGCUGACAGAGGGAUGUCAAUCUAAGGUUAUUGUGAGCAACAUUACCAGCCAUAUCCUUACUUGAUCAAGUUUCUGAUUUUUGUUAACUCAAUGUCAAAGUUUCAUUGUAAUGUCAACACGCAUGCCUAAAUGUUUCUACAUAUGUAAAUAUUAUAGAGUAGAAAUUGUCAAAUAAUGUUGAGCAUUCCAUUCACAAACCCGCAACAAAGUGCGGAGAAGCUAUCUAGUAAAAUCCAUCGAGAUCAUAAUGGAAAUUUUUACU